rnacentral:rRNA from 1 species
AACGAACGCUGGCGGCAUGCCUAACACAUGCAAGUCGAACGAGACCUUCGGGUCUAGUUGCGCACGGGUGCGUAACGCGUGGUAACCUGCCCUUAGGUUCGGAAUAACUCCCCGAAAGGGGUGCUAAUACCGGAUAAUUUCUUCUGACCAAAGAUUUAUCGCCUUUGGAUGGGCCCGCGUUGGAUUAGCUAGUUGGUAGGGUAAAAGCCUACCAAGGCGACGAUCCAUAGCUGGUCUGAGAGGAUGUUCAGCCACACUGGGACUGAGACACGGCCCAGACUCCUACGGGAGGCAGCAGUGGGGAAUAUUGGAAAAUGGGCGAAAGCCUGAUCCAGCAAUGCCGCGUGAGUGAUGAAGGCCUUAGGGUUGUAAAGCUCUUUUACCCGGGAUGAUAAUGACAGUACCGGGAGAAUAAGCGCCGGCUAACUCCGUG